GGUGAACGCUGGCGGCGUGCCUAAUACAUGCAAGUCGAACGAACAGACGGUGAGCGUUCGCCUUUGACGGUGGCGGGGGACGGGUGGGUGACGCGUAGAUAGCCUACCUAUAUUUCGGGGGGAACAUCGGGAAACCGGAGCUAAUACCACAGAAUAUAUUGAACCGCAGGGAGCAGUAGUGAAAGACGGUUUUGCUGUCUCUUAUAGACGAAGCCGCGCCGCAUUGGCGAGUUGGUAAGGUAACGGCUUACCAAGGCAACGAUGCGUAGCCGACCUGAGAGGGUGAUCGGCCACCCUGGAACUGAGACACGGUCCAGACUCCUACGGGAGGCAGCAGUAGGGAAUCUUCGGCAAUGGGCGAAAGCCUGACGCAGCCAUGCCGCGUGAGUGAUGAAGGUCUUCGGAUCGUAAAACUCUUUUAUUAGGGAAGAAAAAAAGUGUAAGUAAACACCGACGUUCUGACGGUACCUAAUCAGAAAGCCCCGGCUAACUACGUG
rnacentral:rRNA from 1 species